ensembl:rRNA 5S_rRNA 5S ribosomal RNA
ACUAGCAGCCUUAUCACCCUGCAACUCACAACUGGCAACCCACUGAAGCUAAGCAGGUGUGAGCCUGGUCAGUACCUGGAUGGGAGACCUCCUGGGAAAAACUAAGGUUGCUGCUGGGA